rnacentral:rRNA from 1 species
ACGGCUCAGUAACACGUGGAUAACCUACCCUUGAGACGGGGAUAAACCCGGGAAACUGGGUAUAAUACCCGAUAGAUCUCGACUGCUGGAAUGCAUCGAGCUUUAAAGCUCCGGCGCUCAAGGAUGGAUCUGCGGCCUAUCAGGUAGUAGUGGGUGUAGCGUACCUACUAGCCUACGACGGGUACGGGUUGUGAGAGCAAGAGCCCGGAGAUGGAUUCUGAGACACGAAUCCAGGCCCUACGGGGUGCAGCAGGCGCGAAAACUUUACAAUGCUGGAAACAGCGAUAAGGGGACCUCGAGUGCCAGGUUACAAAUCUGGCUGUCGUGAUGCCUAAAAAGCAUUGCAUAGCAAGGGCCGGGCAAGACCGGUGCCAGCCGCCGCGGUAACACCGGCGGCUCGAGUGGUAACCGUUAUUAUUGGGUCUAAAGGGUCUGUAGCCGGCCGGAUAAGUCUCUUGGGAAAUCUGGCAGCUUAACUGUCAGGCUUUCAGGAGAUACUGUCUGGCUCGAGGCCGGGAGAGGUGAGAGGUACUUCAGGGGUAGGGGUGAAAUCUUGUAAUCCUUGAAGGACCACCAGUGGCGAAGGCGUCUCACCAGAACGGACCUGACGGCAAGGGACGAAAGCUAGGGGCACGAACCGGAUUAGAUACCCGGGUAGUCCUAGCCGUAAACGAUACUCGCUAGGUGUCGGCCACGGUGCGACCGUUGUCGGUGCCGUAGGGAAGCCGUGAAGCGAGCCACCUGGGAAGUACGGCCGCAAGGCUGAAACUUAAAGGAAUUGGCGGGGGAGCAC